rnacentral:rRNA from 1 species
UACGUAGGGUGCGAGCGUUAAUCGGAAUUACUGGGCGUAAAGCGUGCGCAGGCGGUUUUUUAAGUCAGGUGUGAAAUCCCCGGGCUUAACCUUGGAACUGCCUUUGAGACUGCAAGGCUAGAGUGUAGCAGAGGGGGGUAGAAUUCCACGUGUAGCAGUGAAAUGCGUAGAUAUGUGGAGGAAUACCGAUGGCGAAGGCAGCCCCCUGGGCUAACACUGACGCUGAUGCACGAAAGCGUGGGGAGCAAACAGG